rnacentral:rRNA from 1 species
GAUGAACGCUGGCGGCGUGCUUAACACAUGCAAGUCGAACGAAGAUGCCGGAGUGCUUGCACUUUGGCAGACUGAGUGGCGGACGGGUGAGUAACGCGUGGGUAACCUGCCUUAUACAGGGGGAUAACAGUUGGAAACGACUGCUAAUACCGCAUAAGCGCACGGUAUCGCAUGAUACAGUGUGAAAAACUCCGGUGGUAUAAGAUGGACCCGCGUCUGAUUAGCUUGUUGGUGAGGUAACGGCCCACCAAGGCGACGAUCAGUAGCCGGCCUGAGAGGGUGAACGGCCACAUUGGGACUGAGACACGGCCCAGACUCCUACGGGAGGCAGCAGUGGGGAAUAUUGCACAAUGGGGGAAACCCUGAUGCAGCGACGCCGCGUGGAGGAAGAAGGUCUUCGGAUUGUAAACUCCUGUUGUUGAGGAAGAUAAUGACGGUACUCAACAAGGAAGUGACGGCUAACUACGUGCCAGCAGCCGCGG